AUUGAACGCUGGCGGCAGGCUUAACACAUGCAAGUCGAGCGGGGAAAAGUAGCUUGCUACUGGACCUAGCGGCGGACGGGUGAGUAAUGCCUAGGAAUCUGCCUAUUAGUGGGGGACAACAUCUCGAAAGGGAUGCUAAUACCGCAUACGUCCUACGGGAGAAAGCAGGGGACCUUCGGGCCUUGCGCUAAUAGAUGAGCCUAAGUCGGAUUAGCUAGUUGGUGGGGUAAAGGCCUACCAAGGCGACGAUCUGUAGCGGGUCUGAGAGGAUGAGCCGCCACACUGGGACUGAGACACGGCCCAGACUCCUACGGGAGGCAGCAGUGGGGAAUAUUGGACAAUUGGGGGAACCCUGAUCCAGCCAUGCCGCGUGUGUGAAGAAGGCCUUUUGGUUGUAAAGCACUUUAAGCGAGGAGGAGGCUACCGAGAUUAAUACUCUUGGAUAGUGGACGUUACUCGCAGAAUAAGCACCGGCUAACUCUGUGCCAGCCGCCGCAGUAACAC
rnacentral:rRNA from 1 species